UACAGAGGUCCCAAGCGUUGUUCGGAUUCAUUGGGCGUAAAGGGCUCGUAGGUGGCCAACUAAGUCAGACGUGAAAUCCCUCGGCUUGACCGGGGAACUGCGUCUGAUACUGGAUGGCUUGAGGUUGGGAGAGGGAUGCGGAAUUCCAGGUGUAGCGGUGAAAUGCGUAGAUAUCUGGAGGAACACCGGUGGCGAAGGCGGCAUCCUGGACCAAUUCUGACGCUGAGGAGCGAAAGCCAGGGGAGCAAACGGG
rnacentral:rRNA from 1 species